UACCUGCAGCUCGAGUGGUAACCGCUAUUAUUGGGCCUAAAGCGUCCGUAGCCGGUUUGGUAAAUAUCUGGGUAAAUCGUGAGGCUUAACUUCACGAAUUUCGGAUAGACUGCCAGACUUGGGAUCGGGGGAGGUCAGAGGUACUCCAGGGGUAGCGGUGAAAUGUUGUAAUCCUUGGAGGACCACCGGUAGCGAAGGCGUCUGACUAGAACGAGUCCGACGGUGAGGGACGAAGCCCUGGGGCGCAAACCGGGAUUAGAUACCCGGGUAGUCCAGGGUGUAAGCGAUGUGGGCUUUGUAUUGGAGGUCCCACGUGGGCGUCCAGUGCAGAAGAGAAGUUGUUAAGCCCACCGCCUGGGAAGUACGGUCGCAAGGCUGAAACUUAAAGGAAUUGGCGGGGAGCACAGCAACGGGAGGAGCGUGCGGUUU
rnacentral:rRNA from 1 species